UACCGCAUAAGACAGUAGCUGGGCAUCCAGCAGCUGUUAAAGAUUUAUCGAUGUAAGCUGGGCAUGCGUCCAAUUAGCUAGUUGGUGAGGUAACGGCUCACCAAGGCAAUGAUUGGUAGGGGAACUGAGAGGUCAAUCCCCCACACUGGCACUGAGAUACGGGCCAGACUCCUACGGGAGGCAGCAGUAGGGAAUAUUGGGCAAUGGACGCAAGUCUGACCCAGCCAUGCCGCGUGCAGGAUGAAGGCGUUAUGCGUUGUAAACUGCUUUUAUACAGGAAGAAACGACUCUUGCGAGAGGCAUUGACGGUACUGUAUGAAUAAGCACCGGCUAACUCCGUGCCAGCAGCCGCGGUAAUACGGAGGGUGCAAGCGUUGUCCGGAUUUAUUGGGUUUAAAGGGUGCGCAGGUGGUUUAUUAAGUCAGUGGUGAAAGACGGUCGCUCAACGAUUGCAGUGCCAUUGAAACUGGUAGACUUGAGUAAAGUAGAGGUGGGCGGAAUUGAUAGUGUAGCGGUGAAAUGCAUAGAUAUUAUCAAGAACUCCAAUUGCGUAGGCAGCUCACUUGGCUUUUACUGACACUCAUGCACGAAAGUGUGGGUAUCAAACAGGAUUAGAUACCCUGGUAGUCCACACUGUAAACGAUGAUAACUAGGUGUCGGCCGAAUCUGGUCGGUGCCACAGCGAAAGCGUUAAGU
rnacentral:rRNA from 1 species